AUUUUCGCUCUGUUACAGAUAAAAUUCCAUUCUGUUUAAUAUCCGAACUAAUACUUGAUACAUUUUAUCUAUAAAUAAUAAUAAACGAUUUACCUCGUCAAGUAGAAGUUGACCGACGUAGCAUACCGAGAAGGUGCCGAUGACGCAAGUUACUUGGAAGACAACAUAAAUCACCAUAGCCAUAGCAUUGCUGUCUUCCCAUUCCUAAAAAUACAACUAAUAAUAUUUCACUGAAAUCAUCACUAUUUUCAAUAUAACGCAUCGAAUCGUUCGUUAUACCAUGAUUAUGCAGUAACCAAUUAUACAUAUAAUCAGUACUUGGAUAACAACUUCGAUAAGAUAAAUAGCGGGUACGAAUUGAUCGAGUUGAUUCAAAAAUCUGAAAUGAAGAUUUUUCGUAGAUUAAAUAACACUUUCUAAUUCGUACGAUUAAUUAUGCAUCUCUGUAUUCAUCUUCGAUACUCGCUCUUUGAUCCUCGUCUGAUACUCGACGAUCUGCACGAUCUUCUCCUGUACAACUUCUUCAUCACUGUCAUUCGUAAGAUUCAUCACCUUGUUCGUCAAAAUCUUCAGCAAGCCACACAUAUGCAAGCACAGCAUCAAACAAGCACUCUUGGUGCCGCAUAAAACUGUGUAAAUGAUAAAUCCUCCGAGGACUUGGAGAGUGAAAAUUAUCUCGUAGUUCGGGGUAGCUUGCUCGUUCAACGAACCAAAGUAACUCGGACAAGAAUGUACAGAAGGCCUGGGAUCAAGACUAUCAAUU